rnacentral:tRNA from 1 species
UACAUUAAAAUUAUAUUAGAUUUUGAUUCUAUGAAUGGUAAUUAAUUUUACCUAUUGUA